rnacentral:misc_RNA from 1 species
GAUGAAGAACGUAGCGAAUCGCGAUACGUAAUGUGAAUUGCAGAAUUCAGUGAAUCAUCGAAUCUUUGAACGCACAUUGCGCCCCCUGGUAUUCCGGGGGGCAUGCCUGUUCGAGCGUCAUUUCACCACUCAAGCCUCGCUUGGUAUUGGGCAACGCGGUCCGCCGCGUGCCUCAAAUCGACCGGCUGGGUCUUCUGUCCCCUAAGCGUUGUGGAAACUAUUCGCUAAAGGGUGUUCGGGAGGCUACGCCGUAAAACAACCCCAUUUCUAAGGUUGACCUCGGAUCAGGUAGGGAUACCCGCUGAACUUAAGCAUAUCAAUAAGCGGAGGA